rnacentral:rRNA from 1 species
UGGGGAAUAUUGGACAAUGGGGGGAACCCUGAUCCAGCCAUGCCGCGUGUGUGAAGAAGGCCUUAGGGUUGUAAAGCACUUUCAGUGGGGAGGAAGGGUGAUGUAUUAAUAGUGCAUCACAUUGACGUUACUCACAGAAGAAGCACCGGCUAACUCCGUGCCAGCAGCCGCGGUAAUACGGAGGGUGCAAGCGUUAAUCGGAAUUACUGGGCGUAAAGCGCACGCAGGCGGUCAAUUAAGUCGGAUGUGAAAUCCCCGGGCUCAACCUGGGAACUGCAUUCGAAACUGGUUGGCUAGAGUCUUGUAGAGGGGGGUAGAAUUCCAAGUGUAGCGGUGAAAUGCGUAGAGAUUUGGAGGAAUACCGGUGGCGAAGGCGGCCCCCUGGACAGAGACUGACGCUCAGGUGCGAAAGCGUGGGGAGCAAACAGG